ACAUUUGUUUGUUUAUUUAUUUCUUGACUUGUUUGCACUACAUGUCCCCCCCCCCUCGCGCGCUCGAGUGGACAGACUCGAUCCGGACGUUUAAACGCGCAAACGAUCAUCACCCAGCAGUGUCACCCAAUGUCAUGCAAAUCAUAGUUCACGAUUUCCACUUUUUUAACAACCACACCUUGAUCCAGUUGUGCUUCCCAUCAGAACCACGGAUCCUCAUUAGCGCAAGCUCUCAAUAAUUAAUACCCACCAAAUGACCAAUGUCCACGUUAGAAAGUCACCAACACAAACAACGUCCCUGUGCCACUUUAAUUGUUUGUCAAAGAUGAAACGCACAAGAAGAAUCCGCUGCGAACUACCCCGCCUCCCUCGCGCUGAACAGACUAAUAACAAUCGACCCCAAAUAAGCAGAAGUAAAAAAAUAAAUAACUAGAAACGCUGCGGUAUUAAGAUAAAGUUAUAAACGAUAACCAACCGUAUGAGCCGCGUCGUCUCGCAGUAAACGGGGGAUGAGGUCUCAGAUGAGCUCGCACACACAGACUCGGGAGAAGACCGCACGUCCCGAGUAGACUCCUGCACACACGAUGCCGCGCGCCGCGCGCGUUCACGUUAUAUGCGCGUACCCGACACCCACCGCAGGACUCCACAGAUACGAACUUUUUUCAACAGAUUGUCCAAAGUCCACUUCAUGUAAAUGCAAGGAGGAAGCUGAUCAGCUGACUCAACCGCAGGUCGAACAUUAAACCCUGCAUGCUGAGAAGUUGACCUCCGGCCCAUUCCAAACCAAGACCAUAACAACUUUUUGUUGUUGUUGUUCUGAAUAUAUAAGCUGCACUCUUUAGAGAUGGCGUGUGUUGAAUAAAUCUGGCUUAAGACGGCUUCGGCCAUGUCUCUGUCUUUGAGGAGACCUGCAGGGCUCUCUUUUUGGAUUUUCGUGUGUCUCCUGCUCAUCCUCACUAAGAUGUUGACCUCCCUGGUUCUCUUUGCUGGUGUGUUCAUCGUCUCCAAAGAGGUCCUCAUCAGUCCCUUUCAAUUUUGUCCUACGCGUCAACAUGGCGAGCCAUCCUGCUCGUCCAGGGAACCCAUCGGCGGAGAUGAAUCGGAGAUGAAAACGAACCUCCUGGCAACCGCGGUUCUCCUGUGUUUGUACAUCCCCGUGGUGCUCGUGGCCUUUGCCCUUCUGGCCAUGCUGCUGGCAGCUUACAGCAGAGACAGAGCAGCGGUCUGGUUCAGCGCGGCCUGCCAGGCUGCGUCAAGCCUGCUCGUCCUGACUGGGGUUCUGAGUUUUGUGGCCCUCUAUCAGACGUACGUGAACUGGGAAAACAUGACCGUCUGGUUCUACUUAUGUGUGCUUGUGCCAGUGGAGCUGCUUGCCACGACUGUGCUGACUUGCAAGUCCGGGAAGAGGCUGACGUCUGAAUGGGAGUAGAUCGAAUGGGAAGUCCACCUGGUUAAACUUUAUUCAGGAAGCCAAAGUGCUUGACUAUGGACUAUAGUUUAGUUGAUGCUCUUCACCAUUAGAAUAAAAGUACUUUGUUUUUUUGGUUCUUUUAUUGUAUUCCUUGAGGCAUAUGCUGCUGAAAAGCAAUAAUAUAUUUCAUGAUAAACCCUUCUUUGGUGCAAUAGACUGGAGCAUACUGCGCUGCUUAUGUGUCCUGCUGUAAUUCCGUGCUUAAAUAUCUUGCAAAAAUAAAAACAAAUGUUGGAGUAAUAUGGUUUGCUUUAAUGCAAUGGUGGUAGAACACAAUACAACAAAUCUUUAAUGUCGACAACUUGGGAUGAAAUACUUCCUUAACAAAUGAUUUUGUUGACGACUCUAAAGCACCUCGCAGAGCUCAAACCGGCUUUUGGAGUUUUCCCGAUAUUUAGCUUUUAAACAAUUAAGAGUUUAAUCUUGGACGACCAUAGGCGAGGUGAGGAUUUACUCAACGGUAACCGUGCACACUGUUUGAAGAAGACAAAGUCUUGACAAUGAACACUUAUCCGGAGAAGCUCAUCUCAGAGUCCAGAACACGGGCAAAGGUAUUUAAGGCUUUCCAGUUUUCAACGUUUGUACAAAGUUGCUUAAGAUAAUGGAAAUAAAGGACAGUGCAGCCACGGCCACUUCAUAAUUCAUCAAAGCUGAAAAAACUUGUGGUGGAAAGAUCUCUUUACCUAAAACCCACUUGCUUUAGGUUUCACAUUAUAAUUUAAAAAGUACUACUACACAUCUAUACGUCACUCAUGUUCCGGCUUUCUGGUCAAAGCUUUCAGCAAAACAUUUCUGUUCACAAAAUACCACGUUAUUUGUGUUAAUGGGAGUUCCAUUCACUCAUGUCAGCUGUAUGAAAUACACAGCAGCUCCUUUAACACUGAACUCCAGACUAAGAUGUGCAAUGCCGCACCAAAAUGUGGUUCUAGAUGGCGUAUGCUGGAGUUCAUCAUCAUCAGGUGAAAAAUAUUUCCCUCACAAGCCGCAAGGCAUCAUCCUUCUCUUUUCCCUCAGCCUUCAGUCCGAUAUUCACCAGACCGCCAUGAUCCCGUGCAGGUCCUGCCCUCUGACCCUCAGGGCCCAGAUGCCGCGGGCUGAUCUCCACGUCUGUUUCUGAAACACACGUUGUAUCCAGGGCAUCACCGCCGUCUGAAGACUGCUCCGCUGAUGUCAAAAGCUCUGCCGUCUUCUCUGCAGUGGCCGGGUCCUCGCCCGUGUUCACAGUGGUGGCUGCUGCCUUGUCUUCAACCUGUGUGUGUGUGUGUGUGUGAGUCAGAUGGGGGUGAAUAUAUUUCAUUUCAUAUAAAAUGCUAAAUUGUGCAGGAUAAUAAUACAUUUCUUUGUAUUUGUUCAGACAGGUCUUUGUGCAGGCGGACAAAUGUGUUUGGCACAAAAUUGGAAAAAGCAAAACAUUUAUAUAUAAUGCGAUAAAAAUAUUUGUUUUUUAAGAUUUAAGAAUAUUGGCACGAGUUCACUUAAUUUGCGCCUCCAAAUGUUGGAAGAGAGGGGAAAAGCGCCACCUUGCGGUCAGCGGGGAGAGCGACAUCCUCGCGGGCGGCGUCGGUGAGACGCGAGAGCGCCGCCUCCACCAGCUCCUUCUCGUUCAUGCAGUAGAAAGCAGCCCUGAAAAACACACCGCCGCGUUUAGUCGAAACACACACCGCGCAGCAAAGACGGAGACCUGGUUCGGUUCGUUUCUGCGUCGUCUACCGGGCAGUUUUCCGCUUCCUCGCGCUCUUCAGCGGCUCCUCCUCCUUCGCUCUCGCGCCCUUCUUCGCCAUCCACGACGGCAGCGCGCGCCGCGCCUUCGGACAUGGAAACCCCGCGCGUUGCACGCGUGCGUUGCUUGAGGGGUGACCGGGGUCUUGCCGGUGAAGUGGCCGAAAGAGAAACGAGGGGUUUCCAAG
ensembl:lncRNA